UAGGGAAUCUUCGGCAAUGGACGGAAGUCUGACCGAGCAACGCCGCGUGAGUGAAGAAGGUUUUCGGAUCGUAAAGCUCUGUUGGUAGAGAAGAACGUUGGUAGGAGUGGAAAAUCUACCAAGUGACGGUAACUAACCAGAAAGGGACGGCUAACUACGUGCCAGCAGCUGCGGUAAUACGAAGGUCCCGAGUGUUGUCCGGAUUUAUUGGGCGUAAAGCGAGCGCAGGCGGUUCUUUAAGUCUGAAGUUAAAGGCAGUGGCUUAACCAGUGUACGCUUUGGAAACUGGAGGACUUGAGUGCAGAAGGGGAGAGUGGAAUUCCAUGUGUAGCGGUGAAAUGCGUAGAUAUAUGGAGGAACACCGGUGGCGAAAGCGGCUCUCUGGUCUGUAACUGACGCUGAGGCUCGAAAGCGUGGGGAGCAAACAGG
rnacentral:rRNA from 1 species